rnacentral:rRNA from 1 species
CAGGGAAUAUUGCACAAUGGACGGAAGUCUGAUGCAGCGACGCCGCGUGGAUGAUGAAGGCCCUCGGGUCGUAAAAUCCUUUUCAGGGGGAAGAGGAAGGACGGUACCCUUGGAAUAAGCGUCGGCUAACUACGUGCCAGCAGCCGCGGUAAGACGUAGGACGCAAGCGUUAUCCGGAUUUACUGGGCGUAAAGCGUCUGUAGGCGGUACGAUAAGUUGGGCGUGAAAGCUCCGUGCUUAACGCGGAGAGGUCGUUCAAGACUGUCGAACUAGAGGACAUCAGAGGAGCAUGGAAUUUCCGGUGUAGCGGUAAAAUGCGCAGAUAUCGGAAGGAACACCAGUGGCGAAGGCGGUGCUCUGGGGUGUGCCUGACGCUGAGAGACGAAAGCUAGGGGAGCGAACA